rnacentral:rRNA from 1 species
AUUGAACGCUGGCGGGAGGCUUAACACAUGCAAUUCGAGCGAGCGGCGGACGGGUUAGUAAUGUCUGGGAAACUGCCUGCUGGAGGGGGGUAACUGCUGGAAACGGUUGCUAAUCCCUCGUACCAUCUGAUUUGCCCAGCUGGGAUUAGCUAGGAGGUGGGGUAAUGGCUCACCUAGGCGACGAUCCCUAGAUGGUCUGAGAGGAUGACCAGCCAUACUGGAACGGAGACACGGCCGAGAGUCGUACGGCAGGCAGCAGUGGGGAAUAUGGCACAAUGUGAGAAAGCAUGAUGCAGUCACUCAGCGUGUGUGAAGAAGGCCUUCGGGUUGUCAAGCACUUUCAGCGAGGAGGCGUUACUCGCAGAAGAAGCACCGGCUAACUCAGUGCCAGCAGCCGCGGUAAUAC